CGUUCAACCGCAAAAGAAGCAGAGGGGGCUUAGUGGUGGGGUGACUGCGUACCUUUUGUAUAAUGGGUCAGCGACUUAUAUUCUGUAGCAAGGUUAACCGUAUAGGGGAGCCGGAGGGAAACCGAGUCUUAAUUGGGCGUUAAGUUGCAGGGUAUAGACCCGAAACCCGGUGAUCUAGCCAUGGGCAGGUUGAAGGUUGGGUAACACUAACUGGAGGACCGAACCGACUAAUGUUGAAAAAUUAGCGGAUGACCUGUGGCUGGGGGUGAAAGGCCAAUCAAACCGGGAGAUAGCUGGUUCUCCCCGAAAGCUAUUUAGGUAGCGCCUCGUGAAUUCAUCUCCGGGGGUAGAGCACUGUUUCGGCUAGGGGGCCAUCCCGGCUUACCAACCCGAUGCAAACUGCGAAUACCGGAGAAUGUUAUCACGGGAGACACACGGCGGGUGCUAACGUCCGUCGUGAAGAGGGAAACAACCCAGACCGCCAGCUAAGGUCCCAAAGUCAUGGUUAAGUGGGAAACGAUGUGGGAAGGCCCAGACAGCCAGGAUGUUGGCUUAGAAGCAGCCAUCAUUUAAAGAAAGCGUAAUAGCUCACUGGUCGAGUCGGCCUGCGCGGAAGAUGUAACGGGGCUAAACCAUGCACCGAAGCUGCGGCAGCGAACGUAUCACUUAAAGCGAUUCAGCGGGUUACGAUUGACGGAGCGAAGCGACGUCAAAGCGUAUACAAAGUCGAGUCGGUUUAAGGAUACGUUCGUUGGGUAGGGGAGCGUUCUGUAAGCCUGUGAAGGUGUGUCGUGAGGCAUGCUGGAGGUAUCAGAAGUGCGAAUGCUGACAUAAGUAACGAUAAAGCGGGUGAAAAGCCCGCUCGCCGGAAGACCAAGGGUUCCUGUCCAACGUUAAUCGGGGCAGGGUGAGUCGACCCCUAAGGCGAGGCCGAAAGGCGUAGUCGAUGGGAAACGGGUUAAUAUUCCCGUACUUGGUGUUACUGCGAAGGGGGGACGGAGAAGGCUAUGUUGGCCGGGCGACGGUUGUCCCGGUUUAAGCGUGUAGGUGUGUGUUCCAGGUAAAUCCGGUUCACUUUAACACUGAGGCGUGAUGACGAGGCACUACGGUGCUGAAGCAACAAAUGCCCUGCUUCCAGGAAAAGCCUCUAAGCAUCAGGUAACAUCAAAUCGUACCCCAAACCGACACAGGUGGUCAGGUAGAGAAUACCAAGGCGCUUGAGAGAACUCGGGUGAAGGAACUAGGCAAAAUGGUGCCGUAACUUCGGGAGAAGGCACGCUGACAUGUAGGUGAAGUGAUUUACUCAUGGAGCUGAAGUCAGUCGAAGAUACCAGCUGGCUGCAACUGUUUAUUAAAAACACAGCACUGUGCAAACACGAAAGUGGACGUAUACGGUGUGACGCCUGCCCGGUGCCGGAAGGUUAAUUGAUGGGGUCAGCGCAAGCGAAGCUCCUGAUCGAAGCCCCGGUAAACGGCGGCCGUAACUAUAACGGUCCUAAGGUAGCGAAAUUCCUUGUCGGGUAAGUUCCGACCUGCACGAAUGGCGUAAUGAUGGCCAGGCUGUCUCCACCCGAGACUCAGUGAAAUUGAACUCGCUGUGAAGAUGCAGUGUACCCGCGGCAAGACGGAAAGACCCCGUGAACCUUUACUAUAGCUUGACACUGAACAUUGAGCCUUGAUGUGUAGGAUAGGUGGGAGGCUUUGAAGCGUGGACGCCAGUCUGCGUGGAGCCGGCCUUGAAAUACCACCCUUUAAUGUUUGAUGUUCUAACGUGGACCCGU
rnacentral:rRNA from 1 species